UUAUGGCCAUAUCACAUUUGAAACACUGGUUCUCAUAUGAUCACCGAAGUUAAGCCUGGUAAAUACCUAGAUGGGUGACCACUUGGAAAUAACGUGUUGCA